AUUUGACCAAAAAGUAAUUAAGUCCAUAUCCCUUGAACCCUUUGGCUUCUAAGGCAAAAAAGGAAGAAAAAAUUUCUCAAGCUCUCAAGCCCUCAACCGUGCGACACUACCCUCUUUCUCUCCCAUUUUCUUUCUCUUUCCAAUAUUAAGCCAAGCACCCAUUAUUUCUUCUUCUCAAGAGGAAAAUAGCAAGCCAAGGGUUCGUGUGCUCUCUAGUUUCCCAAGUUGAACCCACCUUUCCUCUUCUCCAUUUUCGUGUUUUGGGAAGGGAUUCACCAAGGUAUAUACCAAGGUAAUGAUGAAUAGGCUGGGGAGCAAGGCAUUACUGCGGAGGGAGAGGCAGAAGCUUAGUGUCUUCCUUGUUGGUUCGACAUUACAUAGAUGAUUGGUUAUGUUUAUGGAUGAAUGUUUAAAUAGAAUAUCUAUCAGGUGUUGCCCUUUAUUAAAUUAAAAAUUUAGAGCACACAUGUGAUAUAUUUAUGCUUAUCACAUAUUACUAGAAAAGAAAAGAAGAAGAAAAAAAAAAAUAGGUUAAGUAGCGAUUCCACCCUUUCCAAGGCGGGGGGUUGUUACAUGGGGCGUGCCAUCAGCUAUGGAGGCUAAUAAGAAGAUUUCCUUUGAAAGAGCCUACCAGUCUGGUGGCCUUGCAUUGUGUUAGGUAUUACAAUUUGAAUUUGGAAAAUGAUGUAUGAAGACUUUCAGGUGUUAUUCCGCAUUCAUAAGAAUUUUUAGUUUUAGAUUAAA